ACUUGGGUGGCUCAGUUGGUUGAGUGCCAGACUUUGGCUCAGGUCAUGAUCUCACAGUUUGUGGGUUCGAGCCCCACGUCAGGCU
rnacentral:tRNA from 1 species